GCUUGUCUCAAAGAUUAAGCCAUGCAUGUCUAAGUGUAAAUACGUCUACACUGUGAAACUGCGAAUGGCUCAUUAAAUCAGUUAUCGUUUAUUUGAUGAUCUCUUGUUACAUGGAUAACCGUAGUAAUUCUAGAGCUAAUACAUGCUGUAAAGCCCGACUUCUCGGAAGGGCCGUAUUUAUUAGAUAACAGACCAGCAGCUUCGGCUAUUGUGGUGAAUCAUAGUAACUAAUCGGAUCGCAUGGGCUAGUCCCGCGACAAACCAUUCAAGUUUCUGCCCCAUCAGCUUUCGACGGUAGUGUAUUGGACUACCGUGGCUUUUACGGGUAACGGAGGAUUAGGGUUCGAUUCCGGAGAGGGAGCCUGAGAAACGGCUACCACAUCUAAGGAAGGCAGCAGG
rnacentral:rRNA from 1 species